AUCAAUGAUGAGACGAUCAGAGCCAAGAUCCAGAAGAACUGAACUCCCAUCCCCCGAGUCCUGCGGCAGGAAGCGCUCCUUCUCUCCAAGAACUCCUGGACCCUGCAAGCUGGUCCAGAACCAGAGUCCCAGUGAGGAGUCCAGCCAGUCCACCUCUCAGAGUUAAACUACAACAUUAUUAAAGAUCAUGUUUAAAGUUAAAAAAGGAUGCUUUCAGACUGAAUCCAGAAGUUUCUCAAGCUGCAGUCAAAGCAGAUCAUUUGAGGAAUAUAUAAAACAAUUAUAAAACAGUAAUAAGAAUUAGUCUGAAUACUUUCUUUGGACAUUUUAUUUAAACGACAUUUUAAACAAAUAUUUUAAAUGUUUCUGACUUUCUAUCUGAGUGCUUUUCUUAUGAAUUAACGACUUAAAUCUUGUUUUCUUUCUUGUGUAUUUCAUAAUCCUACAGGAUAUUAUAUAUUUUUUUCACAUAACUUUAAGACUAAAUAUUAUUUUCUCCCAUAAAUAUCCCACUUCUUGUACUUAUAUCCUGCUUGAUGAGUCAGCAGUAAAGCAGCCAGGCGUUAACGGUCAGCUGGCAUGUGUAUCUGUUCAUUGGCUCAUAUGUGUAGCAUGUUUAAU